rnacentral:rRNA from 1 species
GACGAACGCUGGCGGCGUGCUUAACACAUGCAAGUCGAACGGAAAGGCCCUGCUUUUGUGGGGUGCUCGAGUGGCGAACGGGUGAGUAACACGUGAGUAACCUGCCCUUGACUUUGGGAUAACUUCAGGAAACUGGGGCUAAUACCGGAUAGGAGCUCCUGCUGCAUGGUGGGGGUUGGAAAGUUUCGGCGGUUGGGGAUGGACUCGCGGCUUAUCAGCUUGUUGGUGGGGUAGUGGCUUACCAAGGCUUUGACGGGUAGCCGGCCUGAGAGGGUGACCGGCCACAUUGGGACUGCGAUACGGACCAGACUCCUACGGGAGGCAGCAGUGGGGAAUCUUGCACAAUGGGCGGAAGCCUGAUGCAGAAACGCCGCGUGCGGGAUGACGGCCUUCGGGUUGUAAACCGCUUUAGCCUGUGACGAAGCGUGAGUGACGGUAAUGGGUAAAGAAGCACCGGCUAACUACGUG